GAUAGUUAUGACAUGGUUUAUAAAAGGAAACGUGGGCAGAGGGAUAAAGCGAAUCAUUCCAUUAUAAGAAUGUUUCCUUAUUUAGUGAGGAAAGGAAAAGUAGAUCUAGAUCUGAUGGUUAUAAGAUGAAAGAAUGUUGAGUAGAGAAUUAGGCAAUUAUUAUAGUAGUCACUGUACUUGGGAGAUUCUAGGUGUCUCGAACUACCUAGCCUAUCUUUACAUUUUCUGCAUUUUAUCAUU
rnacentral:lncRNA from 1 species